rnacentral:rRNA from 1 species
CCUGGCGCGUGAGAGAACCCUGGUUAAGGAACUCAGCAAAUUGACACCGUAACUUCGGGAGAAGGUGUGCCGCUGGCGGUUAGUGACUUCGCGUCACGAAGCUGUCGGUGGUCGCAGUGAAAUGGCGGUUGUGACUGUUUACUAAAAACACAGGACUCUGCGAAGUCGUAAGACGACGUAUAGGGUCUGAUGCCUGCCCGGUGCUGGAAGGUUAAGGGGAUAUGUCAGCGCAAGCGAAGCAUUGAACCGAAGCCCCAGUAAACGGCGGCCGUAACGAUAACGGUCCUAAGGUAGCGAAAUUCCUUGUCGGGUAAGUUCCGACCUGCACGAGGGCAUAACAACAUCCGCACUGUCUCGACCAGGGACUCAGCGAAAUUACAUUGGGGGUGAAGAUGCCCUCUACCCGCGGAAAGACGGAAAGACCCCAUGAACCUUUACUGCAACUUGGCAGUGAUUUUCGGGUUGUUCUGCGUAGGAUAGGUGGGAGGCUUUGAAGCCGGGCUUCCGGGUUCGGCAGAGCCAACGUUGAAAUACCACCCUGAAUAAUCUGGAAAUCUAACCUGCGCCCAUGAUCUGGGCGAGGGACACUGCCUGGUGGGCAGUUUGACUGGGGCGGUCGCCUCCUAAAUUGUAACGGAGGCGUGCGACGGUUCCCUCAGGCUGAUUGGAAACCAGCCGUAGAGUGCAAACGCAUAAGGGAGCUUUACUGCGAGACUGACAAGUCGAACAGUUGCGAAAGCAGGUGUUAGUGAUCCGGUGGUACCACAUGGAAGGGCCAUCGCUCAUCGGAUAAAAGGUACUCUGGGGAUAACAGGCUGAUCGCGCCUGAGAGUUCACAUCGGCGGCGCGGUUUGGCACCUCGAUGUCGGCUCAUCGCAUCCUGGGGCUGGAGCAGGUCCCAAGGGUUUGGCUGUUCGCCAAUUAAAGCGGUACGCGAGCUGGGUUUAAAACGUCGUGAGACAGUUUGGUCCCUAUCUUCCGUGGGCGCAGGACACUUGAGAGGAGCUAUCCAUAGUACGAGAGGACCUGGAUGGACGAACCUCUGGUGCUCCGGUUGUCACGCCAGUGGCAUAGCCGGGUAGCCAUGUUCGGAACAGAUAACCGCUGAAGGCAUAUAAGCGGGAAGCUGGCCUCAAGACUAGGUGUCCCUGACGCAAGUCACUAAAGGCCCCUCGAAGACUACGAGGUUGAUAGGCUCGGUGUGGAAGCGCUGCGAGGCGUGGAGCUAACGAGUACUAAUAGGCCGUGCGACUUGACCUA